UAGGCGGUUUGUCGCGUCUGCUGUGAAAAUCCGGGGCUCAACCCCGGACUUGCAGUGGGUACGGGCAGACUAGAGUGUGGUAGGGGAGACUGGAAUUCCUGGUGUAGCGGUGAAAUGCGCAGAUAUCAGGAGGAACACCGAUGGCGAAGGCAGGUCUCUGGGCCACUACUGACGCUGAGAAGCGAAAGCAUGGGGAGCGAACAGGAUUAGAUACCCUGGUAGUCCAUGCCGUAAACGUUGGGCGCUAGGUGUGGGACUCAUUCCACGAGUUCCGUGCCGCAGCUAACGCAUUAAGCGCCCCGCCUGGGGAGUACGGCCGCAAGGCUAAAACUCAAAGGAAUUGACGGGGGCCCGCACAAGCGGCGGAGCAUGCGGAUUAAUUCGAUGCAACGCGAAGAACCUUACCAAGGCUUGACAUAUACCGGAAACUUCCAGAGAUGGUUGCCCCCUUUGGGUCGGUAUACAGGUGGUGCAUGGUUGUCGUCAGCUCGUGUCGUGAGAUGUUGGGUUAAGUCCCGCAACGAGCGCAACCCUCGUUCUAUGUUGCCAGCACGUUAUGGUGGGGACUCAUGGAAGACUGCCGGGGUCAACUCGGAGGAAGGUGGGGAUGACGUCAAAUCAUCAUGCCCCUUAUGUCUUGGGCUUCACGCAUGCUACAAUGGCCGGUACAAAGGGCUGCGAUGCCGUAAGGUGGAGCGAAUCCCAAAAAACCGGUCUCAGUUCGGAUUGGGGUCUGCAACUCGACCCCAUGAAGUCGGAGUCGC
rnacentral:rRNA from 1 species